CAAUGCCCUGAUAGAAGUCUUCAAAACAAGCAGUGCAGUGUUGUGAGAGACAGACUCCUGGGGUCUCCUGCUGCUUCCCGGGGUCUGUCCCUGGACCUUAACCCUUGUGCUCCAUCACCCGUCCCCAUCCCUCUGUGACCAGGCUGGAAGCAGUGCAGCCACAGGAAAGGAUAAUAUGCUUCAGGAAAAAGGAAAAGCAGCAAAAGGAUGUAAUGGACAAAAUCAACUGGUUUCUGGGUGGAUCUUUUCCUUCAACCGAGACACGUUAGCACAGCCAGGACCGUGUCGGUGCUCCCAGCUGCAGGAGGUGUGCUCAGCAGACGGACGGAGCGAGGGCAGGCAGGGAUCCGCAGCAGCGCCUGUGCCGGGAUGGCAGGGCUCUCUUGAAUGAAGCCAUAUGUUGUACUCGCGGGGGACGAGAGGCGGCUUGGUCUCGGCUUGGAGAAACAUGGAAGUGUUGAGAAGAUAGACCUGAGUCAAGUUCAGGGUUUCAGCAGUUUUCAGCUCUACUCUCCUUUCUCCUUCAGAUUUUAGAAGACAAGACAUGCUGCAAGAGCAAACAGGAUUGUUUUUUUUUUUUGCAUCAUAUCAUUUACCAAGCAGUUAAACCCCCACAGAUUUUUAGGCUGCUGCCGUACUUUUUUCCGCACUUCAAAGGAUUAAAAUUGAACACGUUCCAAGUGAAAAGUAACAGCCCAAACUGACAAAUCAAACUAGAUGUAACCCUGUGUUUCAUUAUUAAAGCUUGAUGUGUUCAGGCUCAGUCUCCCUGGCACAGGGAGGCUCGUCCUGCCUCCCUGUCCGAGGAGGAGCUCGGACGUCUCUCCGUACCCACAGCCGUGGGCUCGUGGCAAGUCUCCUGCAACACCUACCAGCUCAAGCCUUGUUUGGGCCGUUCCUCGUCUCUUUCAUGAUGAGGCACUGGACAAGCAAGUGUUACGUCCAUCAGUGAGAGGGCAUUACCUGUAGGAGAAGGCUGACAUCUCUCCUGGUUUUAGAGGCAUCUGUGGUGCCUCCUGCAGGGGCGGCCUCCAGGCUGGCUGUGGCAUGGCGUUAGAGGUGACACAGCUGUAACCUCCGGCAGCUGCCAGCCCUUCUUGGCCAAAUAAAGUGACUGUUUAAGCCUACCUCUGUCA
rnacentral:lncRNA from 1 species